CCUACGGGAGGCAGCAGUGAGGAAUAUUGGUCAAUGGACGAGAGUCUGAACCAGCCAAGUAGCGUGAAGGAUGACUGCCCUAUGGGUUGUAAACUUCUUUUAUAUGGGAAUAAAAUGUUCCACGUGUGGGAUUUUGUAUGUACCAUAUGAAUGAGGAUCGGCUAACUCCGUGCCAGCAGCCGCGGUAAUACGGAGGAUCCGAGCGUUAUCCGGAUUUAUUGGGUUUAAAGGGAGCGUAGGUGGAUUGUUAAGUCAGUUGUGAAAGUUUGCGGCUCAACCGGAAAAGUGCAGUUGAAACUGGCAGUCUUGAGUACAGUAGAGGUGGGCGGAAUUCGUGGUGUAGCGGUGAAAUGCUUAGAUAUCACGAAGAACUCCGAUUGCGAAGGCAGUUCACUGGACUGCAACUGACACUGAGGCUCGAAAGUGUGGGUAUCAAACAGGAUUAGAUACCCUGGUAGUC
rnacentral:rRNA from 1 species